GGCCCCAUCGUCUAGCGGUUAGGACAUCACUCUUUCAAGGUGGAGACACGGGUUCGAGUCCCGUUGGGGCCA
rnacentral:tRNA from 1 species